CAGACGUGCCUGUAGUUGCUCAUCCGAGCCUCCGCUCGGUGCACUCUUCUAUGGGCAGGCCGGCAUCAGUUUGGGCGGUCGGAUAAAGGCUUCGGGAAUGUAGCUCCCCACGGGGAGUGUUAUAGACCUGGGCAGAUGCGCUGCGCGGGACUGAGGACUGCAGCGGACACCCCCCGUGGGGGCCGGCGACCGAACCCCUGCUCGGCCACCCUCGUUCGAUAGCGUGCUAGCGGACGCGGGA
rnacentral:rRNA from 1 species